rnacentral:rRNA from 1 species
CCAAUAGCGUAUAUUAAAGUUGUUGCAGUUAAAAAGCUCGUAGUUGAAUUUCGGGAUCAAUAUAUCGGUCGUGCCUUGGUACGUACUGGUAUCAUUGGUUUCUCCUUUCUGACGAACCAUGAUGUCAUUAAUUUGGUGUUAUGGGAAGUUAGGACUGUUACUUUGAAAAAAUUAGAGGGUUUAAAGCAGGCUUUAGCUUGAAUACAUUAGCAUGGAAUAAUGAAAUAGGACGUUCGAACCUAUUUUGUUGGUUUCUAGGAUCAACGUAAUGAUUAAUAGGGAUAGUUGGGGGCAUUAGUAUUCAAUUGUCAGAGGUGAAAUUCUUGGAUUUAUUGAAGACUAACUACUGCGAAAGCAUUUGCCAAGGAUGUUUUCAUUAAUCAAGAACGAAAGUUAGGGGAUCGAAGACGAUCAGAUACCGUCGUAGUCUUAACCAUAAACUAUGCCGACUAGGGAUCGGAUGAUGUUAAUUUUUUAAUGACUCAUUCGGCGCCUUACG